rnacentral:rRNA from 1 species
CGAGAAAGCCCGCAAGGGUGAGUAAAGCGGCGCACGGGUGCGUAACACGUGGGUAAUCUGCCCUAGAGUCCGGAAUAACUCGCCGAAAGGCGUGCUAAUGCCGGAUGAGACCACGGGAGCCUCGGCUCCUGCGGGAAAAGGUGGCCUCUGUAUACAAGCUAUCGCUCUAGGAUGAGCCCGCGGCCCAUCAGCUCGUUGGCGGGGUAAUGGCCCACCAAGGCUACGACGGGUAGCUGGUCUGAGAGGACGAUCAGCCACACUGGAACUGAGACACGGUCCAGACUCCUACGGGAGGCAGCAGUGGGGAAACUUGCGCAAUGGGCGAAAGCCUGACGCAGCAACGCCGCGUGUGUGAUGAAGGUCUUCGGAUCGUAAAGCACUGUCGCGAGGGACG